rnacentral:tRNA from 1 species
AAAGGGAGACCUAAUUCAGGUAAAAGACGAAAAAAAGUAGUCGCUACCAAGAAUCAAUCCCAAAAGGUCGGAGCGAGGCGAAAUUGGCUUUCAAACUAGGUUCUGGGUUCAAACAAGACCUGAAUCAGGAACAAGGGCUAUUAGCUCAGGUGGUUAGAGCGCACCCCUGAUAAGGGUGAGGUCCCUGGUUCGAGUCCAGGAUGGCCCACCUGCACAGGUGGCAAAAACAAGAGAAGCGAGGAAUCAGCACCUUAUCUUACUUAUAUAGUAAGAGAGAAUGCUGGCUCUGAGUAAAGAGUCCAGAGGAACCUUGAAAACUGCAUAGAGCUAGGUGAAAAAGCCAAAAAAGAAGACCGCAAG